AUGCCUUAAACUGAUGAGUAAGGAAAAUAACGACGCGGGGUGACGCCCGUGUCCUCACUCAAACUCGUGAGAAGAAUUUUUGAAAGAUUUUUGAAAGGGCACAGGUCCGUCUGCGAGGUGACUCACCUACUUAGUGAGAUGCCGAGCAGAGCCAGGAUCUGCCCC
rnacentral:snRNA from 1 species